AGAGUUUGAUCAUGGCUCAGGACGAACGCUGGCGGCGUGCUUAACACAUGCAAGUCGAACGAUGAACCAGGAGCUUGCUCUUGGGGAUUAGUGGCGAACGGGUGAGUAACACGUGAGUAACCUGCCCUUGACUCUGGGAUAAGCGUUGGAAACGACGUCUAAUACCGGAUACGAGCUUCAGCCGCAUGGCUAGGAGCUGGAAAGAAUUUCGGUCAAGGAUGGACUCGCGGCCUAUCAGCUAGUUGGUGAGGUAAUGGCUCACCAAGGCGACGACGGGUAGCCGGCCUGAGAGGGUGACCGGCCACACUGGAACUGAGACACGGUCCAGACUCCUACGGGAGGCAGCAGUGGGGAAUAUUGCACAAUGGGCGAAAGCCUGAUGCAGCAACGCCGCGUGAGGGACGACGGCCUUCGGGUUGUAAACCUCUUUUAGCAGGGAAGAAGCGAAAGUGACGGUACCUGCAGAAAAAGCACCGGCUAACUACGUGCCAGCAGCCGCGGUAAUAC
rnacentral:rRNA from 1 species